CAGGGAUUGCCCUAAUAACGGCGAGUGAAGCGGCAACAGCUCAAAUUUGAAAGCUGGCCUUCGGGUCCGCAUUGUAAUUUGUAGAGGAUGCUUUGGGUGAAACGCCAGUCUAAGUUCCUUGGAACAGGACGUCAUAGAGGGUGAGAAUCCCGUAUGUGACUGGAAAUGUUAACCUAUGUAAAGCUCCUUCGACGAGUCGAGUUGUUUGGGAAUGCAGCUCUAAAUGGGAGGUAAAUUUCUUCUAAAGCUAAAUAUUGGCGAGAGACCGAUAGCGCACAAGUAGAGUGAUCGAAAGAUGAAAAGCACUUUGGAAAGAGAGUUAAAAAGCACGUGAAAUUGUUGAAAGGGAAGCGCUUGCAAUCAGACUUGUUUAAACUGUUCGGCCGGUCUUCUGACCGGUUUACUCAGUUUGGACAGGCCAGCAUCAGUUUCGGCGGCCGGAUAAAGGCUCUGGGAAUGUGGCCUUCACUUCGGUGAAGGUGUUAUAGCCCAGGGUGUAAUACGGCCAGCCGGGACUGAGGUCCGCGCUUCGGCUAGGAUGCUGGCGUAAUGGUUGUAAGCGACCCGUCUUGAAACACGGACCAA
rnacentral:rRNA from 1 species